UUUUACACUGUGUGUUACCGACACCGGAUAUUGCUACCAUCGAGGCGAGGAGUUCUUCACAUUUGAACAGGACAGAGAUAUAACGGCUGUUUGCCUGUUUCUAUUGCAAAGCAACAGCGUCAUCCUUCGAGGAUAUCGUCACCCAAAUGUUAUUUCAUAAUACAUAAGAAAUAAUCGAAGAAAAAAUGUAUAAUACACCUUCAAUUUUCGUAUUGUACCAGACAUUUGCCAGGAGCAAGCUAUAGGGAAUUUAUUACAAUAAUGUAAACCAUAUAUAAAUCAUUCCUAGGGACCACGUAUUUAAUUCCGACGAAAAGAACAUGCAGCAAGGAGAAAAUUAACAUUGAUGCCCUAGACGCAGCAACACAUAGCUACGGAGUUGCGCCAGUACGACAGUAUCAUAAAUGUGAUCAAAGCAAAAUAUUGACAUAGAAAAAAAUUAAAUUGAGAAAUUUCAGCGUUUCUGUGAAAUUCACAAAUAAAACGAAAAAAUAACUAUAGUAUA